AGCCGACGAUGCGUAGGGGUUCUGAGAGGAAGGUCCCCCACAUUGGAACUGAGACACGGUCCAAACUCCUACGGGAGGCAGCAGUGAGGAAUAUUGGUCAAUGGCCGGAAGGCUGAACCAGCCAAGUCGCGUGAGGGAAUAAGGCCCUAUGGGUCGUAAACCUCUUUUGUCAGGGAGCAAAGGCGUCCACGUGUGGACGAGAGGAGAGUACCUGAAGAAAAAGCAUCGGCUAACUCCGUGCCAGCAGCCGCGGUAAUACGGAGGAUGCGAGCGUUAUCCGGAUUUAUUGGGUUUAAAGGGUGCGUAGGCGGAGUGUCAAGUCAGCGGUAAAAUUUCGGGGCUCAACCCCGUCGUGCCGUUGAAACUGACACCCUUGAGUGAGUGAGAAGUAAGCGGAAUGCGUGGUGUAGCGGUGAAAUGCAUAGAUAUCACGCAGAACGCCGAUUGCGAAGGCAGCUUACCGGCGCUCAACUGACGCUGAGGCACGAAAGUGCGGGUAUCGAACAGGAUUAGAUACCCUGGUAGUCCGCACAGUAAACGAUGAAUGCUAGAUGUCCGGGGCGAAUGAGCUCUGG
rnacentral:rRNA from 1 species